rnacentral:rRNA from 1 species
GUAGGUGGCAAGCGUUGUCCGGAAUUAUUGGGCGUAAAGCGCGCGCAGGUGGUUCUUUAAGUCUGAUGUGAAAGCCCCCGGGCUCAACCGGGGAGGGUCAUUGGAAACUGGGGAACUUGAGUGCAGGAGAGGAAAGUGGAAUUCCACGUGUAGCGGUGAAAUGCGUAGAUAUGUGGAGGAACACCAGUGGCGAAGGCGACUUUCUUGCCUGUAACUGACACUGAGGCGCGAAAGCGUGGGGAGCAAACAGGAUUAGAUACCCUGGUAGUCCACGCCGUAAACGAUGAGUGCUAAGUAUUGGGGGGUUUCCGCCCCUCAGUGCUGCAGCUAACGCAUUAAGCACUCCGCCUGGGGAGUACGGUCGCAAAGACUG